GGCUGGAUGGCAGAGUGGUUAUGCAGAGGCCUGCAAAGCCUUGUACGCCGGUUCGAUUCCGGCUUCAGCCU
rnacentral:tRNA from 1 species